rnacentral:rRNA from 1 species
GCCAACGGCCAUACCAUGCUGAAUACACCGGUUCUCGUCCGAUCACCGAAGUUAAGCAGCAUCGGGCGCGGUCAGUACCUGGGAGGGUGACCACCUGGGAACACCGCGUGCUGUUGGCAU